rnacentral:lncRNA from 10 species
UGUGUUUAUUUCAGUUCUCUAAGUCCUAUCACACAAUAUCAAAGACAUUUCUGGCCCAAGUGAACAGAUAAGCUUUCUAUGAGGUAUGCAGGCACCUCACUUUCAUGAAAGGAGACAGAUAUUUUCUACAGAAAGAGUUACAUAUAUAAUAUAACAUUUUCCAAGGAGCCAUUAUGCGUAAGUCCAUAUACUUCUGUUUGCUUACUAUAAAUAAUUCUAGACAAUUAAGCACAUUCUACUAAAACUUCACAUAGGAAAAGACUCUUUUGUUAGCAGAAGACCUUUAUUGUUAUUGUUGUUGUUUUACUGGGAGAUUUAUCAUUAGUAUGUUUAUAAGAGGAUUAGUUCAACUCACUUGCUUUCUUUAUAUUCCAGGAGCAGCUCAGGGAAGGGAGAGAAUGUAUUGCAGAAAUGCAACUUAACUUUUUCCUUUCCAGAUGGCAUGGUGAUAAUUAUUUGAAAAAUACAUAAAACAUCAUCAAAGAAGUUAUUUUCCAAAAAUAAAAAAAAAAUAAGUACUCUUAGUGAAUCAAUUAAACGAGGCUUGGUGGUUUCAUUCCAUCUGCUCUUCUGCAGAUUCUGGAAUCCUUUAGAAACUGACAUACAUCAUGAAGAUUCUGAUAUCUAUAUUUUUGUUGUUACUAGACAGACUCUUGAGCCCUCUGUCAAAUUGAUAUCCUUAACAAAGUAUUUAAUGACAUGCCAAUAUACCAGUCUUACCUCAUCAGCAAGAUGUUCUCUCACCCUUUGUCCUUAGUUAAAUGGGUACUCAUAAAAUUCAUGUCCACUCAGAACCUCAAAAUGUGAAGUUAUUUGGAAAUAGACUAUUUACAUAUGUAAUCUGGCCAAAAUAAGGCCAUAUUGGAUUAAUAUGAGCUCUAAUCCUAUGAUUGGUAUCCCUGUAAGAGAUGAUAAAUGUGGACACAUGGACACACACACAGAGAAGCAGCCAUGUGAAGACAGAAGCGGAGAUUGGAGUGAUAUAAGAAAUGCCAAGGAUUGCCAGCAAUCACCAAAAGCAGGGAAGAAAUAAGAAAAGAUUCUUCAAGAGAGCCUUCAGAGAGACCAUGGCCUUGUCAAUACCUGGAUUUUGGACUUCUAAUCUCCAGAACUGUGAGGGAAUAAAUUUCAGUUAUUUUCAGAUACCCAGCUUGUGGUACUUUGUUACAGGAGCUCUAAGAAACUCAUACACUCUUCUAAUGUGGUGUUUACCUUUCUGUGUGGAAUUUAUGUUAAUAUGCCCUUUACUAUAUCUGCAUAUACCAACUUGAUAGCAUUGAACCUUAAUCUAGUUAACAUUCAGCCUUAAUUACUAUAGAUUUAUAUAUCUAUUCUUCUUUUCCUGUUUAUUUCUCAGGCUUUUUUUAGAUUUCACAUUGUAAUCAUUACUGUACAUUUCUGGAAAAAAUCCUUUAAAAUCUUUGAAACUUUCUGUCAUUUUAGAAUGUUAAUGUCAAUUCCUCAAGUUUCUUAGUUUCAGUCUAUUGUAUUAUGAGUAAUUCUAUUACAUUACAAUAUACUAGCUACUUUUACUAGCAAUUUUAGAUAUGCUUUAUGGGCAGGCUACCUUUUUAACUGUUAAAUGAAUUAUGAUCACUGCAAUGUAUUAUCAAAACAUUUUAUUAUGUCUACUUUCUGAUGAAUUUAUUAAUAUUAAUUAUUUUAAACUAUCAGAUUAAAUUAUUGAAGCUGGACAAUAUAAGAUAAAGUAGACAAGACAAGUAAUUUUCAACAAAAGUUUACUUUUUAUUUUUAAUUUAAAAAUACCUUGCUUAGAAAAAAAGAGAUAAGGUUAUUGUGAGAUAUCAGUCAACCAAAUAUUAAUUAAAAGGUGGCAUUAUUAAGAAUAUAUGUCAAAUAUUAGAUGAAAGCAAAAAUAAUCAAAUGAACUCUUACAUAUUCAAGAAAUUAAGGAAGUAUAUAUAACUACAUACAAAUUAAAAUAAAUAGAAAAGUUUAUGGCUAGAUUGAAUCCACGUAAGAGUUCAUUAAUUAACUAUUGUGUUUUAAAGAGUAUAACUUAAAUUGGAAUGCUUUUUCUAAACUAAAACGAUCAUUUCUAUUUUUUAGAUUCAGAAAUUAGCUCAGCUUAAUGAAAUAGACAAAAAAUGGGGAUCUGUGAUGUUUAAUUCUACAUAUCAUUGUGGCUGAGAUCCAGCACCCAGAUAUUUGGUCUAACAUUUGGAAUGUUUCUACGAGGGUGUUUUCUGGAUGAGAUUAACGUUUAAAACAGUGGGCAUUGAGUCAAGUAGAUUGCCCUCCAUAAUAUGAGUGGGUCUCAUCCAAUCAGUUGCAGGGCUUAACAUAACAAGUACUAAUUUCCCCCAACCAAGAAAUUCUGCCAACAGACUGCCUUUGGAUUCAAACAGCAACUCUUUCUCAGCUUGCUGGGCUACUGGCAUAUGUAGAUAGCUCUCUGUAUAUAUAUAGAGGAAGAUACACACACACACUAACACACAUAAACACAUAUCCCCUGUUGGUUCUGUUUUGCUUGAAAAUCCUGACCAACACAGGAUCCUAAAGAUCUUGUAUUUUAUUUCUCAAUUUGACAUAAGGAGGUGGUAAAACCCAAACAUUUAAAUAUUCUGCUUAUAUAGUUACAUUAAGAAAUGAUAAAUAAAAAUGAAGAAAACCUGCGAGUAUAGUGAUUAUUAUAUAAGCUAGGGCUUUGGGUUGCAAAUAAUAGAAAACCAGCCUGGCUAACCUAGACAGAAAAGAUUUGAGAAAGCUCAGAGAAUAUGUAAGAAAGUCUGAAAUAAUCCAAGUUGAGGAAAAUGGAAACACAAUAUAAAACCACAGAUGUCAUUGGAUUAAAAUAUUGUUGCUUGUGCUGUGACCAGACAUUAACCCUGACUUCAUGGUCCUUAGCCUACAAGAAUCUUUGAAUUAAUUCCUUUUCAGAAUACAAAGUCACAUGCCCUUGACCCUCCUCCAAGGCAUGCCAAAUGAAAAUAUGUGACCCGUCUUAAUUUCAGUAAAAAGUGGGAUUGAACAUCUACCAACAUUCAUAUAUGCGGGAUUUUCCCCAAAUAAAGUAAUUGUUGUCUAAAGAAUUAAAAACUCUACAUCGAUUAUCACAAGUAAAAUUGAGUUGUAUUUCCUCUUAAGACAGAGUAACAUGGAGAAGAUAUGCCCUGAAACAGCUAAAAAAUAAACAGAAUAUAGGAAGCAACAAUUUUCAAGACACUAGAUCAGGGAAUGGUCAAUGAUCUCUGAAAAACAAUAAACAAAAGAGGCGAGGCAUAUUGAUAAAACUUGAAAGAACUUUCAAACCACAGCAGAGGGAAGGAGAAUCCAGAUGGAUCCCAUCUGACUCCCUGAGUUCAGAAGACAGAACCCAGAGCCCAGGAAGGCAGAUAGAGCUAGAGCAUGCAAAAGAAAAGUAGAAAGAGGACAGCUGCAUGGAACGAGAACUUUCAAGAUGUGCAGAGAAUUAUCUUUGAGUAUUUCCUGCAUAUUUGUCAGAAUACUGUGAGAAAACUACCAUAUGCCAUGGAAAAUAUUCACUCAAAAGAGAUAGUGCUGGGCUUUCACAAACAGCUGUAAACAUUACCUGUUCCCACCAGCUAGGUUGGAAAAGUUUCUGAUGGAUGAGUCACUGGGUAGAGUUUGGAGAAUAAAGCAAUAAUUAACCCUAAACUGAGGUGUCUUCUGAUCUUCUCUAAUAGAUCUCAAAAGUAAGACUCAGAAGGAGAAAAUUUUAUCCUAUAACUUUAGAAGGAGCUGAUUCCAGCUAUUAGUCUUCAAGUCUGCCAGCUGAAGUUCCAAACAUCAUAGAACAGAGACCAACUGUCUCCUCUGUGCCUCAUCUGAAUCUCCAAAC